ACGACCUUAAGGAUCACAGUUACCAGGUCUGCAUCUGGGUAACAUGGAAAAACAAAGCAGAAAGAGCUGACCCAUAUCCUGGGGCUUUUCUGCACCAGUUUCUUACCCAUUCGAGUCAGAACCUGGAGAAAAUGCCCCCACCCCUAUAACUCAGCAUUUCCCCAAAUCCAGGCUUUUCUGGGAGCAAACGACCAGGCACAGUCGGCUCAGGGGCUCCACCUUCUGUCCAGAUCAUGACACAAGAGAGACUAGUGCCAAGGACGUCAUAGGCAGAUGGGAGGAAACUUACAGGCCUCUACUCCACCCCUGGCACCUUUCCCAAGGCCCCUCCUCAACCUUCAGCCCCCAGGGGCCUCUGAAUUGGGAUCUCAGUUUGUCCCCGCCCUGCUUCGACCCAACUUGAAUGCCUCAGGGGUGGAGCCUAUAGACGCAGGCUCCUCCUCAGGACAAAAGCCCCAGCUGGUUUGUAAACAGUCAUUAGCGAAGAACCACAUCCCAGCAAAUGGCCUUCAUGGAUUUCAAAAUGGAAUAAACUACAUAGAAUAUUCAAGAAGCAAAUAAUUUGCUUUGACAAAUAACAAAAAGGCCAAAGCUGAGGCCCUACUAUUGAGAUCACAUCAUCUACAGGGAACCCCUCACAAGACCCACAGCUGUCCAUCAAGACAAUGGCUUUUCAUUUUUGAUGACCCCAUUUCAAAUAUAUGUGGUCUACUUUGUGCUGUUUCUUACAGCCACUCUAAUGUUCAGUGUUGGUUAUGUUGUCAGGACCAAGAAAAACAGACCAAUUCUGACAGGUGUACAUUUUAUUGGAAACCUUAAAUACUCUUCAGACAGAACACAAUGUCUUCAAUCAAGGCUCUGAUUGUGGCCUAAGGAGUAAACAGACUUUUGGAUUAGGGGCAAGGAAAAGUACAGCACAGAGGACAAGCGCUUAGUUUGCCAAAAGGAUUUCCUCACGAAUGCUCUUCAGCCAGCUUAUCAGCUUUUGCCACAGCUUCCUCAAUGGGUCCCA